rnacentral:lncRNA from 1 species
GCCCAGAUUAAAACAAAAUGAACGGCUGUGAUCAAAAGGCAAGGGGUUAUAAAUAGAACCCCCACACCAGACCACAAACCCUAGCCGCCAACCGCUCGCCGGAGAAGACGAACCAGAGGCCGACCGCCGCCACCCGCCGCCACUCGCCGCCGCACCGGGGAAAUUUCCGACCGCCGAUCGAGGUAAAUUUCAUACCCCCGACUCGUUUUUUCCCACUGAUUCCUCCUAUGGCCAAAUCGAAGCCGAAAUCCCGGCCAAACGGCCGGAAUACGCGGCCGAAGCCCAGCGGCGCCGCCGCGCCCCCUCUCGGUUUUUGCCUCCGACGAGGCCCUUCCCGGCCUCCGUUCGAUGCAAUUUUUAUAUCACCGUGAUCACCAUUCUUUUCUCUACAGGUUGACCGGAGCCGAAUCACCAAAACACGAACCUCGCCGGAGAGUCGCCGCACCCGAGAGCGCCGCCGCCGGUAAGCUCCGUUUUUCCGUGAUUUUUUGGCCCCCCGAGGGCCCUAAGGUUGUUUUCUGACAAGGACCAAUGCGAGUGUGGCCGAAUUCGGCCGAAAACGGCCGAAAACAGCCAACCCGAGGCGACUCGCCGCCGCCAGCGGCGGCGCCGUCGCCGGAGCACGGCGGAGCCGCCUUGCCGGAGUUGCGAUUUGGG